rfam:Loxodonta africana unplaced genomic scaffold scaffold_5, whole genome shotgun sequence.
CUGAUUGGGCGGGGGGUGGCGGGCUCGGAGUCCCAGAUGCCCCGCGAAGUCCCGAGCCAGGACGCCGCGCUCCUUCCGCAGUUGGCGUGGACCUGUGACCUAGCAGGAGUCCACCCGCUCACUAGGCGUCCUGCGAGCCUUUUUCAGGCCAGUAGCCCAGAACGGAUCGCAGGGUCAAAGCCGCAAGCCGAAG